UAAUAGGCAAAGUCAGUUUUUUAUUCAAGAAUGGUAGCUUGCAAGUGGCAAAAGCUCCAUAGAGUGUUACAUUUUGAAAAUGGCAAUAGGGAAAGGUUUAUAUUGAAUCCAAUAAUCACUACUAUCCCUGAAAAUUAAAAUUUUCCCAAAACUUUGCUUCUGGUGAGAGCAACUGGAUUGAUCUUCAACUUUAAUUCUUUAGUAAUGGUAAAUAUCAUCUGAAACAGUCAAAUGUCUUUUGUCCCUAAUUUUUGUCUGGG
rnacentral:lncRNA from 1 species